UACAUUUUUAUUGCAUUCGCUCCACAUAAUCGAGUUGGUCACGGCUACACGGCACAGCGUGGCAACCAUUUCCAACUAAUCCAACGUUUUCCACUCCAAUACCUUUUAAACAUUGUAUUGGUUAUCAAGUUCCAGUUGAAAAGUUAAUUUCGUGUCGAACAAGACCCCAGCUGUGACACUUCGGGUGAAAGUGUUUUUAAUCUGCUUUGGAAGUGGGAAGUUUGAUUUCGUUACUUAAUACUUGGUGCGUGUACCUUACUUAUGGUACACUUGUAAAGUUGAAAUCUCCGUCGGCUUUAGUGGAAGUUUUACUUGUGGUAACGACAUAAUGUGGUGUCGCGUUUGAGCAGCGCGGGUGCGCGGAAGCCGUGGCGGCCACGUGACAAGAUUAUCUUCUCACAGGGGAUGUGACAAAUACAAGACAUGAGCUGUAGCGGUGGAAUUUCCUAACAAGACAACAGUGACGAAGGGCCCAUAUAACCCAAUACCUGCUAGCUACCCUUUCGUGACUUAUGUCAAAUACGGAGUCGCCACAACCUCAUAGGGUUCAAAAUCACAUGGACUUACACGAGUCGUAACGAAACCAGGUAUAAACCAUUCAUAACUACUACAAUCAAGUUCCGAAGAAGCCUUGGCAAGUCAUAAAUACGUUACCAAGUUGCCGUAAGAGUUAGCAGCGGAGUCCGUGUUGCAUACGUAAGGACUUUGCUAAAUACAUAAAUAACAGCAAACAUUUAACUCCAUAGUUCGAAAUAAGGUUACGUAAAGCAAUCAAUAGUCUUAAUACACAAGAAUUAGUGAAUAAUAGUCUUACUUAUAAACUUAUGUUAGCGUUAAGAGGUGGUUAAGAAUUGCUUAAAUAGCUGUCAAAAACA